rnacentral:rRNA from 1 species
GACGAACGCUGGCGGCGUGCUUAGCACAUGCAAGUCGAACGGAAAGGCCCUGCUUUUGUGGGGUGCUCGAGUGGCGAACGGGUGAGUAACACGUGAGUAACCUGCCCUUGACUUUGGGAUAACUUCAGGAAACUGGGGCUAAUACCGGAUAGGAGCUCCUGCUGCAUGGUGGGGGUUGGAAAGUUUCGGCGGUUGGGGAUGGACUCGCGGCUUAUCAGCUUGUUGGUGGGGUAGUGGCUUACCAAGGCUUUGACGGGUAGCCGGCCUGAGAGGGUGACCGGCCACAUUGGGACUGAGAUACGGCCCAGACUCCUACGGGAGGCAGCAGUGGGGAAUAUUGCACAAUGGGCGGAAGCCUGAUGCAGCAACGCCGCGUGCGGGAUGACGGCCUUCGGGUUGUAAACCGCUUUCGCCUGCGACGAAGCGUGAGUGACGGUAAUGGGUAAAGAAGCACCGGCUAACUACGUG